rnacentral:rRNA from 1 species
GACGAACGCUGGCGACGUGGAUAAGGCAUGCAAGUCGAAUGGUGCACCGCAAGGUGCGUCAUGGCGAACGAGGUAGUAAUACACAGGAACGUCCCCUAGAGUCGGGCAUAAUCAGCCGAAAGGUUGGCUAAUUCCCGAUGGUAUCCGACCCGUAAGGGUUUAGGAUUAAAGUCUCACGACGCUCUGGGAUCGGCCUGUGAGCUAUCAGCUAGUUGGUAGGGUAAUGGCCUACCAAGGCGAUGACGGCUAGGGGGGU